GGCGCCCCCUGUCUUCCGGGCCGCGGAGCUGACCCUCUGCCUCGCCGCUGCUGAGCGCGUGCCUCGUUGCUUCGCCUUGUGUCGCCUCACCGGAAGCGCCAUGCCCCUCAUGCCGCGUCUGACCGUGCUCUGCCCGCUCUCCCGCCACCGUGUGGCCCCGGUAGGCCUGCCGCGCUGGAGCCGCCUCGUCCACUCGAAUCCCGGUCGCCAGUCGUUGUGGGCUGCGGACCAGAGUGUUGCAGUUGUGUUUGUCUUUACCGCCUUUUUAACACCGAUGUCUUGGGUGUUGAGCAAUCUGGACGAGUUCAGAAGACAUUAGAUGGAAGAAGAUGUAAAGCAGCCCUCAGUAUCCAAAAGCUUUCAAAAAAAUCUGUGGUUUUCAAAAAUGAGUAAAAGUGCUUAGUUGGGUUUCAAGACAAAUGUGUUAUGUACCUCCAACUAUAAUGUGAGCUGGAAGAGCAAGAAGCAGGAUUUGCAAAACAGGU